rnacentral:rRNA from 1 species
CGCCAGGCCUAACACAUGCAAGUCGAGCGGAUGAGGGUAGCUUGCUACCUGAUUCAGCGGCGGACGGGUGAGUAAUGCCUAGGAAUCUGCCCGAUAGUGGGGGACAACGUUUCGAAAGGAACGCUAAUACCGCAUACGUCCUACGGGAGAAAGUGGGGGAUCUUCGGACCUCAUGCUAUCGGAUGAGCCUAGGUCGGAUUAGCUAGUUGGUGAGGUAAUGGCUCACCAAGGCUACGAUCCGUAACUGGUCUGAGAGGAUGAUCAGUCACACUGGAACUGAGACACGGUCCAGACUCCUACGGGAGGCAGCAGUGGGGAAUAUUGGACAAUGGGCGAAAGCCUGAUCCAGCCAUGCCGCGUGUGUGAAGAAGGUCUUCGGAUUGUAAAGCACUUUAAGUUGGGAGGAAGGGCUGUAGGCUAAUAUCCUGCAGUUUGACGUACCAACAGAAUAGCACCGGCAACUCU